UCGAGAAUCUUCCGCAAUGGGCGAAAGCCUGACGGAGCGACGCCGCGUGUAGGAUGAAGGCCCUCGGGUUGUAAAGCUCUGUCGUAUGGGACUAACAAAAUGAAGGUACCAUGCAAGAAAGGAUCGGCUAACUUCGUGCCAGCAGCCGCGGUAAGACGAGGGAUCCUAGCGUUGUUCGGAAUCAUUGGGCGUAAAGCGGGUGUAGGCGGACUUAUAAGUCAGGUGUGAAAUCCCAGGGCUCAACCCUGGAAGUGCACUUGAUACUGCAAGUCUUGAGUGUGGUAGAGGCUAUUAGAAUUCCUGGUGUAGUGGUGAAAUACGUAGAUAUCAGGAGGAAUACCGGAGGCGAAGGCGGAUAGCUGGGCCAACACUGACGCUGAGACCCGAAAGCGUGGGGAUCAAACAGGAUUAGAUACCCUCGUAGUCCCUGAGCGGGCUGGCAAGGCGCAU
rnacentral:rRNA from 1 species